GGUUGUGGCUCAGUGGUAGCACACUUGCCUGGCAUGCAUGAGGCACUGGGUUCGAUUCUCAGCACCA
rnacentral:tRNA from 1 species